rnacentral:rRNA from 1 species
GACGAACGCUGGCGGCGUGCUUAAUACAUGCAAGUCAACUGAACUUUAGGUAGCAAUAUUUAAAGGGAGGUGGCGCACGGGUGAGUAACACGUAGGUAAUCUGCCUUCAGGACUGACAUAACUCCGCGAAAGCGGGACUAAAAUCAGAUGAUGCAGCGGCUCGACAUCGAGACAGUUGUUAAACCUUCGGGGCCUGAAGAUGAGCCUGCGUCUGAUUAGGUAGUUGGAGGGGUAAUGGCCCACCAAGCCUGCGAUCAGUAGCUGGUCUGAGAGGAUGAUCAGCCACACUGGAACUGAGACACGGUCCAGACUCCUACGGGAGGCAGCAGUAAGGAAUAUUGCUCAAUGGCCGAAAGGCUGAAGCAGCAACGCCGCGUGGAGGAUGAAAUACUUUAGUAUGUAAACUCCCGUAAGAGGGGAAAAAUAUACAGUUCUGCUGUAUUGAUUGUACCCUCAGAGUAAGCACCGGCUAACUACGUG